rnacentral:tRNA from 1 species
CUUAGCUCAGGUGGUAGAGCAACUGACUUUUAAUCAGUGGGUCGCAGGUUCGAGUCCUGCAGGG